AGUGAACGCUGGCGGUAGGCCUAACACAUGCAAGUCGAACGGCAGCACAGUAAGAGCUUGCUCUUACGGGUGGCGAGUGGCGGACGGGUGAGGAAUACAUCGGAAUCUACUUUUUCGUGGGGGAUAACGUAGGGAAACUUACGCUAAUACCGCAUACGACCUACGGGUGAAAGCAGGGGAUCUUCGGACCUUGCGCGAUUGAAUGAGCCGAUGUCGGAUUAGCUAGUUGGCGGGGUAAAGGCCCACCAAGGCGACGAUCCGUAGCUGGUCUGAGAGGAUGAUCAGCCACACUGGAACUGAGACACGGUCCAGACUCCUACGGGAGGCAGCAGUGGGGAAUAUUGGACAAUGGUCGCAAGCCUGAUCCAGCCAUACCGCGUGGGUGAAGAAGGCCUUCGGGUUGUAAAGCCCUUUUGUUGGGAAAGAAAAGCAGCAGGUUAAUACCCCGCUGUUCUGACGGUACCCAAAGAAUAAGCACCGGCUAACUUCGUG
rnacentral:rRNA from 1 species